CCUUCCACACUGUGGGAGGUUUGUUCUUUUGCUCUUUGCAAUAAAGCUUGCUGCUGCUCACUCUUUGGGUCCAGACUGUCUUUAUGAGCUAUAACACUCACCGGGAAGGUCUGCAGCUUCACUCCUGAAGCCAAGGAGACCACGAACCCACCGGGAGGAAGGAACAACUACAGACACGCCGGCUUAAGAGCUGUAGCACUCACUGCGAAGGUCCGCAGCUUCACUCUUGAGCCAGAGACCACGAACCCACCAGAAGGAAGAAACUCCAAACACAUCCGAACAUCAGAAGGAAAAAACUCCAGACACGCCGCCUUUAAGAACUGCAACACUGCGAGGGUCCGCGGCUUCAUUCUUGAAGUCAGUGAGACCAAGAACCCACCAAUUCCAGACACACUACCAAAGGCAGAGGGGAGCUCCUAGACAAAGAUAUUUUGCUUACAAAUGGAACAUAUCAAAUCAAGCUUUUGUGAACUUGAGGGAAGAAACAAAGAAUAUGAAGCCUAAAUGGAAGUGUCAGGAAAUGGUCGCCUUGCGGACAAGGAAACAGCAGCCUGGAAGGCCAGGAGAGGGCAGACUACCCACCUAACCCUCUGCAGAAUUUUGUGUGGACCCUGGAGACCAGAAACUAACUUCUCCUGCAGAGACAAGGUCUUGCUCUGUCACCCUGGCUGGUCUUGAACUCCUGGCUUCAAGCAAUUCAUCCAUCUCAGCCUCCUGAGUAGCUGGGAUUACAG
rnacentral:lncRNA from 1 species